rnacentral:rRNA from 1 species
GGCCUACCAUGGUGGUAACGGGUAACGGGGUGUUAGGGCACGACACCGGAGAGGGAGCCUGAGAAACGGCUACCACAUCCAAGGAAGGCAGCAGGCGCGCAAAUUACCCAAUCCCGACACGGGGAGGUAGUGACAAUAAAUAACAAUACAGGGUUCUUUAGGAUCUUGUAAUUGGAAUGAGUACAAUUUAAAUCUCUUAACGAGGAACAAUUGGAGGGCAAGUCUGGUGCCAGCAGCCGCGGUAAUUCCAGCUCCAAUAGCGUAUAUUAAAGUUGUUGCAGUUAAAAAGCUCGUAGUUGAAUUUCGAGCUCGACAAGUGGUCUAGGAUUUUCCGAGUACUGUCUUGUUGAGCUCUUCCUUCUAGGGAACUAAGAUGCCCUUCAUUGGGUGUUUUAGCGAACUAGAACUUUUACUGUGAAAAAAUUAGAGUGUUUAAAGCAGGCUAACGCUUGAAUACAUUAGCAUGGAAUAAUGAAAUAGGACAUCGCAUUCUAUUUUGUUGGUUUCUAGGAUCGAUGUAAUGAUUAAUAGGGAUAGUUGGGGGCAUUAGUAUUCAAUUGUCAGAGGUGAAAUUCUUGGAUUUAUUGAAGACUAACUACUGCGAAAGCAUUUGCCAAGGAUGUUUUCAUUAAUCAAGAACGAAAGUUAGGGGAUCGAAGACGAUCAGAUACCGUCGUAGUCUUAACCAUAAACUAUGCCGACUAGGGAUCGGAUGAUGUUGAUUUUUUAAUGACUCAUUCGGCACCUUACG